UUUCCCAAAGAUGAAAAGCUAAAAUGGCUAUAUUUUCGCUUUUUUAGUAUGGGUUUUUGAAGUAUUAGAGCCAUUUCGACAUUCCGCGUAAGAUUUUUUUUUUCUUUCUCCCGAACAGGUGAUACAUAAACAAUGUAAAAGGUUCAAAAGGUACAGGUGUGUUUGUAGUAGAACCAAAGCCUCUCCUCCUCCCCAGUCCUUGAAGUGGUUCAGCUCUCCAGGAACCACGGCAGUGAGCAGUUCCUUAAACACCUUUCAAGACAGAUUCUGUGCAUCUACAAGCAAAUCUUUGCACAUAUACUAUUUUGCUGGAUCUCCCCUCAUUUCUGCACAACCGACCGCACUUGGCUUUGUGUGCUUCAUAAUAAUCGUCAUAAUUCCAGUCGGUACAUGCGAUGCUGCCUCAUUGCUGAUUUCCUCCUUUAAUAAGGACAUCAGUCCUCUUGGAUUAGGGGCCUCCCCUACUCCGGUAUGACCCCGCUUUCACCGGUGACUUCAGGAAUGACCCUCUUUCCAAGGAAAGGUGAGAACACUGAGGUCACUGCUCUUGGUUACACA